rnacentral:rRNA from 1 species
ACUAUCGUUAACUGAAUACAUAGGUUAACGAGGCGAACCGGGGGAACUGAAACAUCUAAGUACCCCGAGGAAAAGAAAUCAACCGAGAUUCCCCCAGUAGCGGCGAGCGAACGGGGAGCAGCCCAGAGUCUGAAUCAGCUUGUGUGUUAGUGGAACGGUCUGGAAAGUCCGACGGUACAGGGUGAUAGUCCCGUACACCAAAAUGCACAGGCUGUGAACUCGAAGAGUAGGGCGGGACACGUGGUAUCCUGUCUGAAUAUGGGGGGACCAUCCUCCAAGGCUAAAUACUCCUGACUGACCGAUAGUGAACCAGUACCGUGAGGGAAAGGCGAAAAGAACCCCGGCGAGGGGAGUGAAAAAGAACCUGAAACCGUGUACGUACAAGCAGUGGGAGCACCUUCGGGUGUGACUGCGUACCUUUUGUAUAAUGGGUCAGCGACUUAUAUUCUGUAGCAAGGUUAACCGUAUAGGGGAGCCGCAGGGAAACCGAGUCUUAACUGGGCGUUAAGUUGCAGGGUAUAGACCCGAAACCCGGUGAUCUAGCCAUGGGCAGGUUGAAGGUUGGGUAACACUAACUGGAGGACCGAACCGACUAAUGUUGAAAAAUUAGCGGAUGACUUGUGGCUGGGGGUGAAAGGCCAAUCAAACCGGGAGAUAGCUGGUUCUCCCCGAAAGCUAUUUAGGUAGCGCCUCGUGAAUUCAUCUUCGGGGGUAGAGCACUGUUUCGGCUAGGGGGUCAUCCCGACUUACCAACCCGAUGCAAACUACGAAUACCGAAGAAUGUUAUCACGGGAGACACACGGCGGGUGCUAACGUCCGUCGUGAAGAGGGAAACAACCCAGACCGCCAGCUAAGGUCCCAAAGUCAUGGUUAAGUGGGAAACGAUGUGGGAAGGCACAGACAGCCAGGAUGUUGGCUUAGAAGCAGCCAUCAUUUAAAGAAAGCGUAAUAGCUCACUGGUCGAGUCGGCCUGCGCGGAAGAUGUAACGGGGCUAAACCAUGCACCGAAGCUGCGGCAGCGACACUAUGUGUUGUUGGGUAGGGGAGCGUUCUGUAAGCCUGCGAAGGUGUGCUGUGAGGCAUGCUGGAGGUAUCAGAAGUGCGAAUGCUGACAUAAGUAACGAUAAAGCGGGUGAAAAGCCCGCUCGCCGGAAGACCAAGGGUUCCUGUCCAACGUUAAUCGGGGCAGGGUGAGUCGACCCCUAAGGCGAGGCCGAAAGGCGUAGUCGAUGGGAAACAGGUUAAUAUUCCUGUACUUGGUGUUACUGCGAAGGGGGGACGGAGAAGGCUAUGUUAGCCGGGCGACGGUUGUCCCGGUUUAAGCAUGUAGGCUGGUUGUCCAGGCAAAUCCGGAUAAUCAAGGCUGAGGUGUGAUGACGAGGCACUACGGUGCUGAAGUAACAAAUGCCCUGCUUCCAGGAAAAGCCUCUAAGCAUCAGGUAACAUCAAAUCGUACCCCAAACCGACACAGGUGGUCAGGUAGAGAAUACCAAGGCGCUUGAGAGAACUCGGGUGAAGGAACUAGGCAAAAUGGUGCCGUAACUUCGGGAGAAGGCACGCUGGUGUGUAGGUGAAGCCCCUGCGGGUGGAGCUGAGACCAGUCGAAGAUACCAGCUGGCUGCAACUGUUUAUUAAAAACACAGCACUGUGCAAACACGAAAGUGGACGUAUACGGUGUGACGCCUGCCCGGUGCCGGAAGGUUAAUUGAUGGGGUUAUCCGUAAGGAGAAGCUCUUGAUCGAAGCCCCGGUAAACGGCGGCCGUAACUAUAACGGUCCUAAGGUAGCGAAAUUCCUUGUCGGGUAAGUUCCGACCUGCACGAAUGGCGUAAUGAUGGCCAGGCUGUCUCCACCCGAGACUCAGUGAAAUUGAACUCGCUGUGAAGAUGCAGUGUACCCGCGGCAAGACGGAAAGACCCCGUGAACCUUUACUAUAGCUUGACACUGAACAUUGAGCCUUGAUGUGUAGGAUAGGUGGGAGGCUUUGAAGCGUGGACGCCAGUCUGCGUGGAGCCAACCUUGAAAUACCACCCUUUAAUGUUUGAUGUUCUAACGUUGGCCCCUUACCGGGGUUGCGGACAGUGUCUGGUGGGUAGUUUGACUGGGGCGGUCUCCUCCCAAAGCGUAACGGAGGAGCACGAAGGUUAGCUAAUCCUGGUCGGACAUCAGGAGGUUAGUGCAAUGGCAUAAGCUAGCUUGACUGCGAGCGUGACGGCGCGAGCAGGUGCGAAAGCAGGUCAUAGUGAUCCGGUGGUUCUGAAUGGAAGGGCCAUCGCUCAACGGAUAAAAGGUACUCCGGGGAUAACAGGCUGAUACCGCCCAAGAGUUCAUAUCGACGGCGGUGUUUGGCACCUCGAUGUCGGCUCAUCACAUCCUGGGGCUGAAGUAGGUCCCAAGGGUAUGGCUGUUCGCCAUUUAAAGUGGUACGCGAGCUGGGUUUAGAACGUCGUGAGACAGUUCGGUCCCUAUCUGCCGUGGGCGCUGGAGAAUUGAGGGGGGCUGCUCCUAGUACGAGAGGACCGGAGUGGACGCAUCACUGGUGUUCGGGUUGUCAUGCCAAUGGCACUGCCCGGUAGCUAAAUGCGGAAGAGAUAAGUGCUGAAAGCAUCUAAGCACGAAACUUGCCCCGAGAUGAGUUCU